rnacentral:miRNA from 1 species
AGAGUGUCUGUUACCUGACC